AGCGAACGCUGGCGGCAGGCUUAACACAUGCAAGUCGAACGGGCGUAGCAAUACGUCAGUGGCAGACGGGUGAGUAACGCGUGGGAACGUACCUUUUGGUUCGGAACAACCCAGGGAAACUUGGGCUAAUACCGGAUAAGCCCUUACGGGGAAAGAUUUAUCGCCGAAAGAUCGGCCCGCGUCUGAUUAGCUAGUUGGUGAGGUAACGGCUCACCAAGGCAACGAUCAGUAGCUGGUCUGAGAGGAUGAUCAGCCACAUUGGGACUGAGACACGGCCCAAACUCCUACGGGAGGCAGCAGUGGGGAAUAUUGGACAAUGGGCGCAAGCCUGAUCCAGCCAUGCCGCGUGAGUGAUGAAGGCCCUAGGGUUGUAAAGCUCUUUUGUGCGGGAAGAUAAUGACGGUACCGCAAGAAUAAGCCCCGGCUAACUUCGU
rnacentral:rRNA from 1 species